UCUUCAAGGAAAGGAGGACUGCGGCUUUUCAAGUUCUCAAAAAUCGGAAAGAGAGUUUAAACACCCAAUUCCUGCAUCUUCUCUGCCGCAGCAAAUUGGUGUUCCUACCAGCUCUUUAACUCAAGUUGUUCAUUCAGCUGGAAGACAGUUUAUAGUAAGUCCUGUUCCAGACAGUCGAUUACGAGAGUCAAAAAUUUUCACCAGUGAAAUAUUAGAUACGGUUGCUGCCUGCACGUCUCAGGGCCCUGGAAUGAACUUGUCGCACUCUGCUUCAUCUCUUAGUCUACAGCAGGCCUUCUCCCAACUUAGACAUGCCCAGAUGACAG